CCUUAUCACUCCACUGUCCAGGCUGUAUUUGAGAUCUGGACGGAGAACUGAUAAGGGC
rnacentral:pre_miRNA from 1 species